rnacentral:lncRNA from 1 species
UUCCAGAGCUUUCCUGGGGGCUGCCUUUUCCAUCAGUGGAUUCAGCUGGAGCAAGAGCAGGAAGGAAUGAACUCCCUGCACCCAUGGGAGAGGAUGGAGAGGAUGCAGGACCCUUUCCCAAAGUGUCCAUUCCACAGGCACCUGUCCCAGGUGUGGCAGCAUUCCCACAGUUCUGCUGCUGAUUAACAUCGCCCUGACUUCAGACCAGGUUUUGGAGCCCAGUUUAAUCAGCCUGUGCACAGCCUCUUGCAGAGGUUUUCAUCUCCAUCGCUUGGGUUACUCAGAGGACUUUCUAAUGCUGAAUAUGUGGAGAAGUAAGUGUUUUAAACCAAAAAAUGAGGAAAAAAGCAGAAAAAUAAAUAUUUUUAUUGUUUGCUCCCAAAAUGUGCUGAGCAAAUCUCUGCCACUCCUGAAGAGGUUCAGGACAAGGUGUGGGGAAGCUCCACAGAGAACUGGGCACCAAUUCCCAGAUUUAUGGAAUUCUCACCCCAAAUGAGCCCUAGAAAUGAGAUUACUUUCUAAACCUGCCACCUUUCCUUUGAGACUUCCUCUGUAGAUCCCAGACAGAUUCCCACCUUUCCUCAGAAAACACAAAAUGAAGCAGCCAAACAUUUAAGUUGCCUUUUUUUCCUUCCCACUAUUGAAAGCCAAGUUCAGCUCUGCCGCCUUCUGCACCAGGACCUGUUAUCCUGUGGGGAACAAAAAAAUCCAACCCCAAAUUCCUGUUUGAGCAUGGAGAUGGAUCCCAUUUCUCUGGAAAAACCCAAAUUCCUCUUGUGAAGGAGAAGCUGUUCAGAGUCUCCGUCUGCUCAGCAGAUCCUGGGAUCCCACAUCCCUGCCCAGCUCCUCGUCCUGCCCGGCCUCCAGCAGCUGCUCCCGCCAUCCUCACAGCUGCUGCUGCCUCCCAACGAGAUUUGGGGGAUCUGAGGGACAAUUCCUGUCAGCUGAACCUGCCACGGCAGCUGGGAGCACGCAGGGAGGUGGUAGGGAUGGGAAUCUGAGAACCAAAG